rnacentral:rRNA from 1 species
UACAGAGGUGGCAAGCGUUGUUCGGAAUUACUGGGCGUAAAGGGCGCGUAGGCGGCUUUUUAAGUCAGACGUGAAAUCCCCCGGCUUAACCUGGGAACUGCGUCUGAUACUGGGAAGCUUGAGUUCGGGAGAGGGAUGUAGAAUUCCAGGUGUAGCGGUGAAAUGCGUAGAUAUCUGGAGGAACACCAAUGGCGAAGGCAGCUCGCUGGAACGGUACUGACGCUGAGGCGCGAAAGCGUGGGGAGCAAACAGG